GUACCCUACGGGGCGCGGCAGUGGGGGAUAUUGCACAAUGGGGGGAACCCUGAUGCAGCGACGCCGCGUGGGUGAAGGAGCGUUUCGGCGCGUAAAGCCCUAUCAGCAGGAAAGAAAAUGACGGUACCUGACUAAGAAGCCCCGGCUAACUACGUGCCAGCAGCCGCGGUAAUACGUAGGGGGCAAGCGUUAUCCGGAUUUACUGGGUGUAAAGGGAGCGUAGACGGCAGUGCAAGUCCGGAGUGAAAGCCCGGGGCUCAACCCUGGGACUGCCCUGGAAACUGUAAAGCUGGAGUGCGGGAGGG
rnacentral:rRNA from 1 species